AACGAACGCUGGCGGCAUGCCUAACACAUGCAAGUCGAACGAGACCUUCGGGCCUAGUGGCGCACGGGUGCGUAACGCGUGGGAAUCUGCCCUUGGGUUCGGAAUAACAGUUGGAAACGACUGCUAAUACCGGAUGAUGACGUAAGUCCAAAGAUUUAUCGCCCAGGGAUGAGCCCGCGUAGGAUUAGCUAGUUGGUGGGGUAAAGGCCUACCAAGGCGACGAUCCUUAGCUGGUCUGAGAGGAUGAUCAGCCACACUGGGACUGAGACACGGCCCAGACUCCUACGGGAGGCAGCAGUGGGGAAUAUUGGACAAUGGGCGAAAGCCUGAUCCAGCAAUGCCGCGUGAGUGAUGAAGGCCUUAGGGUUGUAAAGCUCUUUUACCCGGGAUGAUAAUGACAGUACCGGGAGAAUAAGCCCCGGCUAACUCCGUG
rnacentral:rRNA from 1 species